rnacentral:rRNA from 1 species
GACGAACGCUGGUGGCGUGCUUAACACAUGCAAGUCGAACGGAAAGGCCCUGCUUUUGUGGGGUGCUCGAGUGGCAAACGGGUGAGUAACACGUGAGUAACCUGCCCUUGACUUUGGGAUAACUUCAGGAAACUGGGGCUAAUACCGGAUAGGAGCUCCUGCUGCAUGGUGGGGGUUGGAAAGUUUCGGCGGUUGGGGAUGGACUCGCGGCUUAUCAGCUUGUUGGUGGGGUAGUGGCUUACCAAGGCUUUGACGGGUAGCCGGCCUGAGAGGGUGACCGGCCACAUUGGGACUGAGAUACGGCCCAGACUCCUACGGGAGGCAGCAGUGGGGAAUAUUGCACAAUGGGCGGAAGCCUGAUGCAGCAACGCCGCGUGCGGGAUGACGGCCUUCGGGUUGUAAACCGCUUUCGCCUGUGACGAAGCGUGAGUGACGGUAAUGGGUAAAGAAGCACCGGCUAACUACGUG